UACGGAAGGCAGCAGUGGGGAAUAUUGCACAAUGGGCGCAAGCCUGAUGCAGCUAUGCCGCGUGUAUGAAGAAGGCCUUAGGGUUGUAAAGUACUUUCAUCGGGGAGGAAAAAAACAAAAACUAAUAAUUUUAUUUUCUUGACGUUACCCGAAAAAGAAGCACCGGCUAACUCCGUGCCAGCAGCCGCGGUAAUACGGAGGGUGCUAGCGUUAAUCAGAAUUACUGGGCGUAAAGAGCACGUAGGUGGUUUUUUUAAGUUCAGAUGUGAAAUCCCUGGGCUUAACCUAGGAACUGCAUUUUGAAACUGAAAUACUAGAGUAUCGUAGAGGGAGGUAGAAUUCUAGGUGUAGCGGUGAAAUGCGUAGAUAUCUGGAGGAAUACCUGUGGCGAAAGCGGCCUCCUAAACGAAUACUGACACUGAGGUGCGAAAGCGUGGGGAGCAAACAGGGAUUAGAUACCCGU
rnacentral:rRNA from 1 species